rnacentral:misc_RNA from 1 species
ACCUGCUGACUCUUUUCAAGACUUUAUUCACUAACACUAGGUCCAACACAAAGCACUAGGUUCAAACACUAAGCACUAAGUUCAAACACUAAGCACUAAGUUCAAACACUAAGCACUAAUUUCAAACACUAAGCACUCACGAUGUCCUCAGUCGUAGGUUUCGCUGGUACCACUCUUGAUCACUAGUUUUCACUCUUGAAGUCGCCUCGAAGAUCGCUCAAACUGAACUGUACUCGCUCGCCUCCCUGCGGCUAUUUAUAUCGGCCGACACGAGGCCCAGACCAUUCUGGAAAGUUCGCGCAUGUGCCCGGUUUUCGAGACUAUACUUCUACAAAGUUCCACAGUAGUUCCUCUAACGCCAUCUAGUAUUGAGUAGAGAGUUUUAUGCGGUCUCUGUCUUUGCGUGGUUUCAAUGGUUGCCGCUAGAUGGCGCUAGUUUCUUUGUGUCUCCUUAACAAUAACAAAGUUAAUCUCUCU